CAGAGGGGGAUAACGUUUGGAAACGAACGCUAAUACCGCAUGAUAUUAUUGGGCAGCAUUGCCUGAUAAUCAAAGGAGCAAUCCGCUGAAAGAUGGGCUCGCGUCCGAUUAGGUAGUUGGCGGGGUAACGGCCCACCAAGCCGACGAUCGGUAGCCGGACUGAGAGGUUGAACGGCCACAUUGGGACUGAGACACGGCCCAGACUCCUACGGGAGGCAGCAGUGAGGGAUAUUGGUCAAUGGGGGAAACCCUGAACCAGCAACGCCGCGUGAGGGAAGACGGUUUUCGGAUUGUAAACCUCUGUCCUCUGUGAAGAUGAUGACGGUAGCAGAGGAGGAAGCUCCGGCUAACUACGUGCCAGCAGCCGCGGUAAUACGUAGGGAGCAAGCGUUGUCCGGAUUUACUGGGUGUAAAGGGUGCGUAGGCGGCUUUGCAAGUCAGAAGUGAAAUCUAUGGGCUUAACCCAUAAACUGCUUUUGAAACUGCAGGGCUUGAGUGAAGUAGAGGUAGGCGGAAUUCCCGGUGUAGCGGUGAAAUGCGUAGAGAUCGGGAGGAACACCAGUGGCGAAGGCGGCCUACUGGGCUUUAACUGACGCUGAGGCACGAAAGCGUGGGUAGCAAACAGGAUUAGAUACCCUGGUAGUCCACGCUGUAAACGAUGAAACGAGGUGUGGGUGGACUGACCCCAUCCGUGCCGGAGU
rnacentral:rRNA from 1 species